ensembl:lncRNA
GUAACUUUUAAACAAAACCAUUACUGUCGGACUACAGGUUCCUGAAUUUGCUUGAAGGGAUGCGGUACAGUAACAAUAAGGGGAAGUGAAAGACCACAGCUGGGUGCCGUCACUUUGUCCCAUCGUUCUCAAAUCAAAGCCAAGCCGUCCAAAUUCUCUUCUGACAUGUGAGCUUGAUCGGCAUUGAGAUUUUCUUUUUAGUCAACAAUGUUCACCAUGAAUUAAAUAUGUAUUUUUUCGUGGCUGUACAUCUUAUUUAAACAGUUUGGUCAUACUUUUACAAUACACGUAUUCUGAUAUAAAAUGUAUAAAUGUAUUAUGGAGCAUGGUUUAAUCAUCUAAACACAUACCUCUUUAGAGUAUGACAAGUUGGUACAAGGCAACAGAAAGUGCAACAGAAAGUGCUUUCCACCAGACAUAAAAGCCAUUUAAACUAGAAAAGCGACAUACAGGGCAAUAUGUAGUUAGAUACAAUUCUGCUAAUGUGCCAUAUGUGUCCGGUCAGAACAGCAGCUCUUUAAUAUAUUUUUUUGCCUUUAAAAAAUACAGCUUCAGUUGAUUUUUCAUGCAGAGAAAACAUAAAGCAUAGAUCAACUCCUUUCUGGUCUUGUUUAAUGUCCUGGGGCGCAAACAGGUGCUUCUUACUGUGUUAAUGUGUUGAAAAAGGUAAAUGUUUUUCCCACUGCAUAACUUCAUCCGUACGGAAGUACGAAUACUACUCAUGGUGAAUACACCUUUGAGUUCACUUCCUCUGACAAAUAAAUGAUACAUUAACACCUUGCGUACGGCUUUGACGUCAUAUUUUAGUUCCCUUUGCAGUGAACACAGAGGUUGAUCAACUGAUUUCAACAUCCAGAUAUCACAAUUAUUGUUUAAUAAACAUCUAUUUUUUGUUGAAUUUUGUUUGGUUAUACUUUAAUGGAAUUUAACUGAUUAAGAUUACUAUUCGGUUU